GGAUAGCUCAGUUUGGUAGAACAUGAGACUCUUAAUCUCUGGGUCACGGGUUCGAGCCCACAUUGGGAAAA